CGGGUGAGUAACACGUGGAUAACCUACCUAUAAGACUGGGAUAACUUCGGGAAACCGGAGCUAAUACCGGAUAAUAUUUUGAACCGCAUGGUUCAAAAGUGAAAGACGGUCUUGCUGUCACUUAUAGAUGGAUCCGCGCUGCAUUAGCUAGUUGGUAAGGUAACGGCUUACCAAGGCAACGAUGCAUAGCCGACCUGAGAGGGUGAUCGGCCACACUGGAACUGAGACACGGUCCAGACUCCUACGGGAGGCAGCAGG
rnacentral:rRNA from 1 species